rnacentral:rRNA from 1 species
GACGAAGGGGGCUAGCGUUGUUCGGAAUUACUGGGCGUAAAGCGAGUGUAGGUGGUUGUCGUAGUCAGGCGUGAAAGCCUUGAGCUCAACUCAAGAAAUGCGCUUGAUACUGGGCAGCUAGAGGACCGGAGAGGAUAGUGGAAUUCCCAGUGUAGUGGUGAAAUGCGCAGAUAUCAGGAGGAACACCCGUGGCGAAAGCGGCUCUCUGGACCACAACUGACGCUGAGGCGCGAAAGCUAGGGGAGCAAACAGG